GUGAAUCAUCGAAUUUUUGAACGCACAUUGCACUCUCUGGUAUUCCGGAAAGUAUGCCUGUUUGAGUGUCAUUUAUCUCACAAUCGGUUUUGUUGCUGCCUUUCGUGGUGACGUGUCGGAACUGUGUUGUCUUACCUUCGGUUAUGUGACUUACAUUUUUGCAUGUUUUUCGAACGUAUUUAAUUUUCUUACUAACGAUUGAGA
rnacentral:misc_RNA from 1 species